rnacentral:SRP_RNA from 1 species
GCCGGGUGUGAUGGCACGCGCCUGUAGUCCCAGUUACUCAGGAGGCUGAGGCAGGAGAAUCGCUUGAACCCAGGAGGCGGAGGUUGCAGUGAGCAUAGGUCUUGGCACUGCACUUCAGCCUGGGCAACAGAGCGAGACUCUGUCUCAA